CGGCGUGCUUAACACAUGCAAGUCGAACGGAAAGGCCCUGCUUUUGUGGGGUGCUCGAGUGGCGAACGGGUGAGUAACACGUGAGUAACCUGCCCUUGACUUUGGAAUAACUUCAGGAAACUGGGGCUAAUACCGGAUAGGAGCUCCUGCUGCAUGGUGGGGGUUGGAAAGUUUCGGCGGUUGGGGAUGGACUCGCGGCUUAUCAGCUUGUUGGUGGGGUAGUGGCUUACCAAGGCUUUGACGGGUAGCCGGCCUGAGAGGGUGACCGGCCACAUUGGGACUGAGAUACGGCCCAGACUCCUACGGGAGGCAGCAGUGGGGAAUAUUGCACAAUGGGCGGAAGCCUGAUGCAGCAACGCCGCGUGCGGGAUGACGGCCUUCGGGUUGUAAACCGCUUUCGCCUGUGACGAAGCGUGAGUGACGGUAAUGGGUAAAGAAGCACCGGCUAACUACGUGCCAGCAGCCGCGGUGAUACGUAGGGUGCGAGCGUUGUCCGGAUUUAUUGGGCGUAAAGGGCUCGUAGGUGGUUGAUCGCGUCGGAAGUGUAAUCUUGGGGCUUAACCCUGAGCGUGCUUUCGAUACGGGUUGACUUGAGGAAGGUAGGGGAGAAUGGAAUUCCUGGUGGAGCGGUGGAAUGCGCAGAUAUCAGGAGGAACACCAGUGGCGAAGGCGGUUCUCUGGGCCUUUCCUGACGCUGAGGAGCGAAAGCGUGGGGAGCGAACAGGCUUAGAUACCCUGGUAGUCCACGCUGUAAACGGUGGGUACUAGGUGUGGGGUCCAUUCCACGGGUUCCGUGCCGUAGCUAACGCUUUAAGUACCCCGCCUGGGGAGUACGGCCGCAAGGCUAAAACUCAAAGGAAUUGACGGGGCCCCGCACAAGCGGCGGAGCAUGCGGAUUAAUUCGAUGCAACGCGUAGAACCUUACCUGGGUUUGACAUGGAUCGGGAGUGCUCAGAGAUGGGUGUGCCUCUUUUGGGGUCGGUUCACAGGUGGUGCAUGGCUGUCGUCAGCUCGUGUCGUGAGAUGUUGGGUUAAGUCCCGCAACGAGCGCAACCCUUGUUCACUGUUGCCAGCACGUUAUGGUGGGGACUCAGUGGAGACCGCCGGGGUCAACUCGGAGGAAGGUGGGGAUGACGUCAAGUCAUCAUGCCCCUUAUGUCCAGGGCUUCACGCAUGCUACAAUGGCUGGUACAGAGAGUGGCGAGCCUGUGAGGGUGAGCGAAUCUCGGAAAGCCGGUCUCAGUUCGGAUUGGGGUCUGCAACUCGACCUCAUGAAGUCGGAGUCGCUAGUAAUCGCAGAUCAGCAACGCUGCGGUGAAUACGUUCCCGGGGCUUGUACACACCGCCCGUCAAGUCAUGAAAGUUGGUAACACCCGAAGCCGGUGGCCUAACCGUUGUGGGGGAGCCGUCGAAGGUGGGACUGGUGAUUAGG
rnacentral:rRNA from 1 species